rnacentral:rRNA from 1 species
AUGAGGAUCACCAAACAAUGCAACCUGCCACUUUCUUUGGGUAAGCAUUAUCACUCAAAUGUGUUGUGUGAUGUGGUUGACAUGGAUGCCAGCCAUGUUCUUCUUGGGAGGCCUUGGCAAUUUGAUGUGGAUACUACACACAAGGGCAAGGAAAAUGCUUACUCUUUCAUUUGGAACAAGAGAAGGAUCAUUAUCUUACCAAACAAACCCGAAGGUAAUACCUCUAAGGAGGAGGGGAAAACUAUGUUAACUAUCUCCCAUACCUCUCAUGAGUUUAUGGAAGACUUGAAGGAGGCAGAUUUGUGUGCUGCACUUGUUAUAAAGGGGGAAGAGCACCUGACUGUUGAAAUUCCAGCAAAGGUACGUGGUUUAUUGGCAGAAUUUCAGAACAUACUUGGGGAGCCACAUGGCUUGCCACCGAUGAGAGGAAUUCAACAUAGAAUUGACUUAAUUCCGGGAGCAAGUCUUCCUAAUCUUCCACACUAUUGA